GAUGAACGCUAGCGGCAGGCCUAAUACAUGCAAGUCGAACGGAGUGGAGCAGCAAUGCUCCACUUAGUGGCGCACGGGUGCGUAACGCGUAUGCAACCUACCUUUUAUUGGGGGAUAGCCCGAAGAAAUUCGGAUUAAUACCGCAUAAUAUCAUUUGAGGGCAUCUGAGGAUGAUGAAAGCUUUGGCGAUAAAAGAUGGGCAUGCGUGUCAUUAGCUAGUUGGUCGAGGUAACGGCUCACCAAGGCGACGAUGACUAGGGGUUCUGGGAGGAUGAUCCCCCACACUGGUACUGAGAUACGGACCAGACUCCUACGGGAGGCAGCAGUAGGGAAUAUUGGGCAAUGGCGGAAACGCUGACCCAGCCAUGCCGCGUGCCGGAUGAAGGCCUUCUGGGUUGUAAACGGCUUUUACCAGGGAAGAACCUACCUUUGCGAAGGGAACUGACGGUACCUGGUGAAUAAGCACCGGCUAACUCCGUGCCAGCCGCCGCGGUAAAAC
rnacentral:rRNA from 1 species